rnacentral:rRNA from 1 species
GAUGAACGCUGGCGGCGUGCUUAACACAUGCAAGUCGAACGAUGAAGCCGAAGCUUGCUUUGGUGGAUUAGUGGCGAACGGGUGAGUAACACGUGAGUAACCUGCCCCUGACUCUGGGAUAAGCCUGGGAAACUGGGUCUAAUACCGGAUAUGACUGCGGAACGCAUGUUUUGUGGUGGAAAGAUUUAUCGGUUGGGGAUGGACUCGCGGCCUAUCAGCUUGUUGGUGAGGUAAUGGCUCACCAAGGCGACGACGGGUAGCCGGCCUGAGAGGGUGACCGGCCACACUGGGACUGAGACACGGCCCAGACUCCUACGGGAGGCAGCAGUGGGGAAUAUUGCACAAUGGGCGAAAGCCUGAUGCAGCGACGCCGCGUGAGGGAUGACGGCCUUCGGGUUGUAAACCUCUUUCAGUAGGGAAGAAGCGAGAGUGACGGUACCUGCAGAAGAAGCGCCGGCUAACUACGUGCCAGCCGCCGCCGUAA